GCCAGGUGCGGUGGCCCACGCCUGUAAUCCCAGAGGCAUGGGAGGCUGAGGUAGGAGGAUCGUGAGUUCAAAGCCAGCCUCAGCAACUUAGCAAGGCCCUAAUCAACUCAGUGAGACCCUGUCUCCA
rnacentral:sRNA from 1 species